CUGCUAUUAAGAACAUCUAUAGCUAUAACAGCCGCAGCCGUGAAAACUAAUCACCGUAUUUUCACUGUAAAGUGCAACAGAGGAAUUAAGAAACAGAUGCGCAUUAAAAAGGAAAAAGGAGAAACAGAAGUUGUUAAACCAUCUCAAUUGCACUGCAGGGAAGCUUGCAGCAGAGGUAGGAAGAAAUGGAGAAUUCAAUUCCAGGUUGCAGGACCUUUGAGGAUCCACCGCAGAUUUAUUCCCUGUAUUUACAAUGCCAGAAAGAUGUUUCCAGUUUAAUGCAAACAUACAAGUUCUGCUGACUGGGGAGGGGGCUUAAGGCAUGACCAAGGAAAGACACAAACCUG
ensembl:lncRNA